rnacentral:rRNA from 1 species
UACAGAGGUCUCAAGCGUUGUUCGGAUUCAUUGGGCGUAAAGGGUGUGUAGGUGGCGCCGUAAGUCGGGGUGUGAAAUUUCGGAGCUUAACUCCGAAACUGCAUUCGAUACUGCGGUGCUUGAGGACUGGAGAGGAGACUGGAAUUCAUGGUGUAGCAGUGAAAUGCGUAGAGAUCAUGAGGAACACCAGUGGCGAAGGCGGGUCUCUGGACAGUUCCUGACACUGAGACACGAAGGCCAGGGGAGCAAACGGG